rnacentral:tRNA from 1 species
GGGGAUAUAGCUCAGUGGUAGAGUACUUGCCUAGAAUGCACGAGGCCUCAGUUUAUUCCCC